rnacentral:rRNA from 1 species
AUUGAACGCUGGCGGCAGGCCUAACACAUGCAAGUCGAGCGGAGCGGCGGACGGGUGAGUAAUUCCUAGGAAUCUGCCUGGCAGUGGGGGAUAACGUCCGGAAACGGGCGCUAAUACCGCAUACUAUCAGAUGAGCCUAGGUCGGAUUAGCUAGUUGGUGGGGUAAAGGCCUACCAAGGCGACGAUCCGUAACUUGUCUGAGUGGAUGAUCAGUCACACUGGAACUGAGGAACGGUCCAGACGCCAACGGGAGGCAGCAGUGGGGAAUAUUGGACAAUGGGCGAAAGCAUGAUCCAGCAAUGCCGCGUGUGUGAAGAAGGUCUUCGGAUUGUAAAGCACUUGAAGUUGGGAGGCGUUACCAGCAGAAUAAGCACCGGCUAACUUCGUGCCAGCCGCCGCGGUAAUUC